rnacentral:sRNA from 1 species
AGUGUCAACGGUAAAUGUCUGACUGGAACGAUAGUGGAAGGAAUUUAAGGAGUUGAUACGUGCGUGCG